rnacentral:rRNA from 1 species
AACGUAGGUGGCGAGCGUUAUCCGGAUUUACUGGGCGUAAAGCGCACGUAGGCGGUUCGUUAUGUCGGAUGUGAAAGCCCUUGGCUUAACCGAGGAAGUGCAUCCGAAACUGGCGAGCUAGAGUACGAAAGAGGAUCGCGGAAUUCCCGGUGUAGAGGUGAAAUUCGUAGAUAUCGGGAGGAACACCGGUGGCGAAGGCGGCGAUCUGGGUCGAUACUGACGCUGAGGUGCGAAAGCGUGGGGAGCAAACAGG